rnacentral:rRNA from 1 species
UACAGAGGUCCCGAGCGUUGUUCGGAUUUAUUGGGCGUAAAGGGUGCGUAGGCGGCGGAGUAAGUUGGGUGUGAAAUCCCGGGGCUCAACCUCGGAAUGGCAUUCAAUACUGCUUCGCUCGAGUACUGGAGAGGAGGCUGGAAUUUACGGUGUAGCAGUGAAAUGCGUAGAUAUCGUAAGGAAGGCCGGUGGCGAAAGCGAGCCUCUGGACAGUUACUGACGCUGAUGCACGAAGGCCAGGGGAGCAAACGGG